rnacentral:rRNA from 1 species
UGGGGAAUAUUGGACAAUGGGCGAAAGCCUGAUCCAGCCAUGCCGCGUGUGUGAAGAAGGUCUUCGGAUUGUAAAGCACUUUAAGUUGGGAGGAAGGGCAGUAAGCGAAUACCUUGCUGUUUUGACGUUACCGACAGAAUAAGCACCGGCUAACUCUGUGCCAGCAGCCGCGGUAAUACAGAGGGUGCAAGCGUUAAUCGGAAUUACUGGGCGUAAAGCGCGCGUAGGUGGUUCGUUAAGUUGAAUGUGAAAGCCCCGGGCUCAACCUGGGAACUGCAUCCAAAACUGGCGAGCUAGAGUAGGGCAGAGGGUGGUGGAAUUUCCUGUGUAGCGGUGAAAUGCGUAGAUAUAGGAAGGAACACCAGUGGCGAAGGCGACCACCUGGGCUCAUACUGACACUGAGGUGCGAAAGCGUGGGGAGUAAACAGG